rnacentral:rRNA from 1 species
UACGAAGGGGGCUAGCGUUGCUCGGAAUUACUGGGCGUAAAGGGAGCGUAGGCGGAUAGUUUAGUCAGAGGUGAAAGCCCAGGGCUCAACCUUGGAAUUGCCUUUGAUACUGGCUAUCUUGAGUAUGGAAGAGGUAUGUGGAACUCCGAGUGUAGAGGUGGAAUUCGUAGAUAUUCGGAAGAACACCAGUGGCGAAGGCGGCUAUCUGGACGGUUUCUGACGCUAAGACGCGGAAAGCGUGGGGAGCAAACAGGG